rnacentral:rRNA from 1 species
CCCUCCGAAAGGAGAGCUAAUACCGGAUACCCCCACGAACCGCAUGGUUUGUGAGGAAAUGGAUUCCGCUUCGGGAGGGCUUCGCGGCCUAUCAGCUAGUUGGUGGGGUAACGGCCCACCAAGGCAUCGACGGGUAGCUGGUCUGAGAGGACGGUCAGCCACACUGGGACUGAGACACGGCCCAGACCCCUACGGGAGGCAGCAGUGGGGAAUCUUGCGCAAUGGGCGAAAGCCUGACGCAGCAACGCCGCGUGGGGAUGAAGGCUCUCGGGUUGUAAACCCCUUUCAGCAGGGACGAAUCAAGACGGUACCUGCAGAAGAAGCCCCGGCUAACUACGUG